UACGGAGGGUGCAAGCGUUAUCCGGAUUUACUGGGUUUAAAGGGUGCGUAGGCGGGCCCUUAAGUCAGUGGUGAAAGCUCCGAGCUUAACUCGGAAACUGCCAUUGGUACUAUAGGUCUUGAAUUCGGUCGAGGUUGGCGGAAUGUGUCGUGUAGCGGUGAAAUGCUUAGAUAUGACACAGAACACCGAUUGCGAAGGCAGCUAGCUAGACCGACAUUGACGCUGAGGCACGAAAGCGUGGGGAUCAAACAGG
rnacentral:rRNA from 1 species